GGUUUGCCAUGAUUGGGGACGCAUCCCAAAGCAGGGCAAAUCAGAAACGACUGCAGAAAGGGCAAUGGCAGACCGGAGGUGGGACAAUGCAAUGUGGGAAUGGAGAGUAAGGUAAGUCUGUGAUAGUUACCCUUUCAUCUGCCACUGUAUAAAAGGGCUGUGGUUUUGUCAUUGACACAGUGCAAACAGACAUAAAUAUUUAAUAAACCAUUAACUCUUAUUCAAUUCAUAUUUUUUUUUUCAAAUAUCUGGUCAAAAUAGUUAACUUGAAUACAGC